AAAAGCACUUAUUUGAAAAGUCAUUUUAUAAAAGUUCUUCUCAAAUAAGCAACUUUGAAACAGCUAUCCCAAACGGGCUCUAAAUUGCAUGAACCAAUGCAAUACUUCACUGUGUUUUAAGUGCUAUGAGCAUGAAUCUUUGCCUUGGAUCUUACUGUUUCGUAUACCAACUUACCACUAUCUUGGUUCUAAGCUGCUUCUUUUCUCAAUAAUGAAAUACUACUUACCUUUUCACCAUUACAAUUUCAAGCGAUUAAUAAUGCUUUUUAUAUCGUUAAAAUUUUAGAUUAUUAUUAAACAAUUGCAGAAAAAUACAUAAGUAUGUCUAAUAUCAUAGAGUAGAUUCAACCAGAAAAUAGCAUAAUCCAACAAAUUACUCCAACUACUACAUCAAUUUCACCCAUAUAAAAAAGGAAAGAAAAACUGAUGGGCAAAUCUUAUUGAAAAUCAGCAAAGAAAAACAGAAGAUCGAGACGCAUAAAAUCGAUUGCUUGAAGCUGCUAAAAGACCCAGAUGAAACUAGACUAUUCUUACUCGUGCAUGAGUAAUAAUAACAAGACACGUGAGCAUUUGGAGUAAGAAUUGAAUUGCCUUUCCGCCGAAAGAAUUUCUCUAAAUGGCCAAGUAUGAGUUGGCAGAAAGGCAACUCAACUCAUACUCCAAACAAGGAAGUGCAUCUCCUUACCAAUGUUGCUUGAAUUACCAAAACAAGGAAGUGCGUCUCCUUACCGAUGCCUCUUGAAUUACCCAAACAAGAAAGUGCAUCUCCUUACAAAUGCCCCUUGAAUUACCCAAACAAGGAAGUGCAUCUCAUUACAAAUGCCGCUUGAAUUAUCCAAACAAGGAAGUGCGUCUCCUUACCAAUGCCGCUUGAAUUACCCAAACAAGAAAGUGUGUCUCCUUACAAAUGCCGCUUGAAUUACCCAAACAAGGAAGUGCAUCUCAUUACAAAUGCCGCUUGAAUUACCCAAACAAGGAAAUGCGUCUCAUUACAAAUGUCACUUAAAUUACCCAAACAAGGAAAUGCGUCUCCUUAUAAAUGUCACUUGAAUUACCCAAGGAAAUGCGUCUCCUGGACAAGGAAGUACGUCUCCUAAAGAUAUUGGAUUAUAAGUUUUACCAUGGUUUUGAUUACUAAAUCUGUGCAGCAACAUUGCCUUUUGCAUUUGUAGAAGUGAGAAAUUACAUCUUUUGAUGUUUAGGCUCUGAAAUCCUUGAUCUGAAUGUAACAUGUGUUCCUGUUUCAUACAAAGAAAACUUUUGAGUUUAAAAACAUAGUGUGUUUUGUGGCUUUAGCUUUCACGCCAAUCGCUCUUGCCCUCGUCACAUUUAACCUUACUUCCAACCAUUAGCAUAUGUCACUGACUUGCUGCAUCAUUGGCCCAAACUCAGAUUAUUAAGAAUGACUCUGAAACAAACACAAUAUCUCUGCUUUGCCAUGUUCCUUCAGAUAAACUCAUUGAACCUUGGUAUUUCCAUGAGUUCCCAGAUUUGUUUGUUGACGAAACUUUCUGCAUGCCUUAUUUCGGCUCACAAUCAUGUCUCUUUCAUGCCCUGGCCUUUAUGUCUUGCUUUGUGCAAUUGAAAAAGUUGGUAGCCAGUUUUGAAAUCUUUUCUCACUUGUUUUGACAUGAACUUGACUCAAAGACACGAGAAAAAUGAGAAUGAUUUUUUUUAUUUGGAUAACUGACUCAAGAAAACAAACAUAAAACUAUAGAGAAGAAAGAAAAGACAAUGAAUGUCCCCAUUGAAAAAGAGAAAAGAAGAAUUUAUCUAAAAAUGACAGUCAACUCCAAUGAUUAUGACAUGCAUUUCGGAUUAACCUGCCUGAUCUUUCCGUCCAAACUUUUAACAAUUGUUGUUGAGUUAAUGGCCUUGAAACUAAGUUACUUCCUUGGGCCAAUUACAUUUGGAGACCUCAUUCAGCUAGUGGCACCUUGAAAGGUUUUCGCCAACAAGCCUCUCUCAUUUUUUUUUUCUAAGCUCACUAUUGCCUUAUGGUGUUCAUGAGGGUUUUUCACCAAUGAAACUUUCUUGUUUGCAUUUCUCUCAACUCACAGUCGUCUUACAGUGCAUGUGAGGGUUUUCACCGAUAAGACUCUCUCAUUUUUAUCUCUCUCAGCUUAUCAUCGCCUUAUGGUGCCCAUGAGGAUUUUCACCAAUAAAACUUUCUCAUUUUUAUUUCUCUUUUGAUUUCUUAUGCUGAGGAAGACAAGUAGUUCCCAAAAUAUCCAUUGCAUACUUAGCCCUAACAUUCUCAAAGAUUGAUCUGAAGGUCUUUCUUUGAUUGUAACUUGACUUUUGGACAAGGUUAGAAAGAAAGGAUGGCAUGAGGCCCAAACGACACUUCAAGUGGGGUAGGACUUACAACUUUUGGAAUCGACUCAAACAAUGAGGAUUAAAUCAUGCCCCAGUUUUUUAACUGGGCAAUUCUAAAUUAUUUAUUUGGUUAGAUCGAGCCCAAAGUAGGAUAACCUACGUAUCUCACCCCCGAGAGAGGAGAAUCAGGUCACGCGUAGUUCUGACAGUUCGCUCUUUUGCUUGAUUCUGAUUUCUUUUUUUUUCGACUUAUUUUCUUUUUAAGACUUUUCUGACUUUAUUUUUCUAGACACUCAUCUCUUUUCUUUCUUUUUGACAUAUUUUUUCUCUUUUUUUUAGAAACUUUUCUAACUCUAUUCUUUUGCUCGAUACUUUUCUUUUGAACUUUGCUGACUCUAUCUUGAUUCCAAAAGAGGGGUAUGAAAGAAAAUAGAUUUAAAGCUCAAAUGGGGUAAACAAAAGAUGACACAAUGUUUAGAUAGAAAAAUGAAAUGUCUUCAUCAUAUCAAUCCUUGAAAAUGUAAGUACAUAUCAUGCAAUAUGAAGUGAAAGAUAAAGAUCAUUUGUGACAUCUUUAUAGCACUAACUUUAAUUGAAUUUGUGCAUCACUACUCUUGCACUUUGUUAACAUACCACUCCACUUUUGUUAUACAUCCCUCAUGCUGAAGGACUCCUGACUUCGUGAAGCUGAUUAUCUUCCUGUUUCUCUGGUUAUGAGGAUCACGCGUCCACUAUUUGACCUAAUUGAGCUAUACUUUCUAAUUGAUGACCAAGUUAUUCUUGUGAUUCUCAAAAUAAUUGCCUUAAUUUUGAAAGAAGGCCUCAACGUGGUCACCAAAUGUCUCACCACUCUACCGAUUUCUCAGAUGUUUUUUUCUUCUAACUUUAGUCCUUUGAUUCAAUGUCCUUGCUUACGCUGGAUUUUAAGAUCAGGCUGAAAAUUCCACCAGCAUGUCAUAUCACUAGAACCAACAAAAAAUGUAUACGUAUAUAAAACAAACAAACAACACAUAUUUAAAAUACAAAGGGAAAAAGGACACUCCAUUUAAUUAAAAUGAAAGAUAGAAGGGUUUGAACAUAAACGACAAAGGGACAAAACAAGAUAGAUCCUGAACUAGAAUCCUAAAAUAAUUCGGAUAACAGAAAAUAAAACAAAACAAGCUACCAAACCCCUUCCUAGUAAGGAGGGGAGUGACUUCCCAAUUGCUAAGCUUGACAUCUUAGCCAUUGGUUUCCAUAUCAGCAUGACUAGAGCUUUCCUCACUGUCAAUGUUCUGCACCAUAAUUGAUUUAUCUUGAAUCAUUGUUUUAAUUUCUCUUUUCAAAGCAGGACAAUCUUCAAUACUGUGACCUUGAACAUCAUAAUGAUAUGCAUAUCGUACAUUAGGAUCAAAACUUCUUAAAUGCGGGUCAGAAGUAUACCCAAGGAGAGGAGUGAUCAUGCCCCACUGUACCAAUCUCUAGAAUAAACUGGCAUACGACUCUCCAAUUGGUGUGAAACUAUCCCUCAACUUCUACCUCAUUUCAUUGUUUGGCUUGGGCCAAAAAUUUGGCCUAGAAGUGCUUUGGUAUGUUUGUGGAUUUGGAGGAUGACUCUGAGGAGCUGGUGCACGCUAUUAUGGGUAAGAAGAUGAUUGAACAUAUGGUUAUGCAUUGUAUACUGGAUAUGAAGGUGGGGGAAUAGAGUAUAAUGGAUUUUAGGAGUGAUUCUGUAGACCUUGGGUAUAAACUUGGAUUUGACCCUGAGGGUAACGACGACGUGGUCUUCUUAAUCGUGUCUGUUGUCCAACUACAAUUGUAGCUACAUCUUCCUCAUUCUUUUUCCCUCCAACAUUUUCUGAACCCUUUUGAAUUGCUUGAGUAGUUGCUUUCAAGGUUGCAAAACUCAUAAUGUGACCCGUCUUAGUUCCAUCCUCUAUCAUCUCCCCCAUUUUGAGGACCUUAAUAAAUGGCUUGCCUAAUGCAUAUAACAUGCGUUGAUAAUAUGUUUCAUCCUGUGCUUGAAUAAAUACCUUCACUAUCUUGCUUUUUUUUAUUAGUGGUUUCAACCUAGCAGCUUGUUCAUGUCAUCUAAUCGCAUACUCUCUGAAACUCUCAGUAUUCUUCUUCUUCAUACUGGUUAGGGAUUUUUCGUCAGAGAUCAUAUCCACAUUAUAUUAGAAUUAUUGCACAAAUUCAUUAGCUAAAUCAUCCCAACUAUUCCACCUAUCAAUAUCCUGAUCAACAAACUACUAUGAGGCUAGACCCGAAAGACUUUCACCAAAGUAAGCCAUGAGCAGUUCUUUUUUGGCUUCAACACCUCUUAAUUGGUUACAAUAACGUCUCAAACACGCCACCAGAUCCCCGUGUCCAUCAUACUUCUCAAACUUUGGCAUCUUAAAACCAAAAAAGAGAUUAAUUCCUGAAAACAUGCACAGAUCUUUAUAUGAGACACUUUUGUAACCCCCGAGUCCUUGGAAGUUCUUCAUAGCCAAUUUUAAACUUCUCAAUUUUCUGGUCAUUUCCUCUUGUUCUUCCAUCAUGACAGGCUUUUCAGUGUUAAGAGGAAAUUCAGGCGGGUGAAUGUAGCCAUAAGGAUCAGUCAACUUAAAUGUGGGCUCAAUAGCAUGAUGUUUAUCAGCAAAAAUAUUCAAUACAAGGCUCUCUCGCAGAGUGGGGAGGCACAACCGGUGAUAAACCUCAAAAGUAGGAGCUUCAGGUGGGGGUUCUGCUGCAAAAGCAUGAACAGUGGGUGGAGUCGAGCAUAUGGUAGUUUUGUGUUGAGGAGCGAGGAAAUACAUAUUGGAAGUGUUUGGAUAGUGUUGCCCUGGAGUAGAUCCUGAUGCAUGUUAUAGCGUGUCAACGACAAUAGAAAAAUGUCCAUGUCACACUAGAGGUAAGCUAGAAAGAUAUUCCAGAUUAUCAGUGGGAAAUGGAGGAGGCGGCAAACCAUUAGCCCAAGCUCGAUGCAUUUCUAUCAUUUGCUGCCUUAAUUUUUGAAUCUCUUCAUUAGCUUCUAAAUGCCCAUUCCCCCAACUCCUUAUUUGAUUAGUGACCAUAACCCCGGUAUUCCUGUUGGUCAUAACUUUCUCUUCGACUUGGUGCAAUGUGGAGGACCAGCCAGAAUGACACAAACCAACCACCUUAAACUAACUGAACAAGAGAUAACAAAUGUAUUAGAGUUCAACACUUUUUCAAAACUUCUUUUUCGUUCUUUUCUUUUUUCUUUUGAAAAGAUCACCGAACCCUAGAAGGGUGCCUACGUAUCUCACUCCCGAGAGAGGAGAAUCAGGUGUGCAUAGUUCGUGAAAUUUUGGCACAUCAUAGCCGAUCAAACUCUCUUUUCUUUUGAAACCCUAAAAGAAAAUAACAAGGUGUCACAAGAAUUGACGAAAAUCUUUUUUGAAUUUUUCAGCUUUAAACUCCCUAUACAAAAUGAAACAUAUGAUUACCAAAGAAAAAUCUUUUUGGAUUUUCAAUUUUGAAUUUCAUAUGAAAAUGGAACUUGAAACUAUUAAAGGAAAAUCUUUUUAUGGUUUUAUUUUAGAGAUGUAUAUGACACCUACUCUAAAUGAAGAGUAAAGAAAAUCUUUUUGAAUUUUUCAGAUUAUUACAAAAUGAAACCUAUGAUUACCAAGGAAAAAUCUUUUUGGGUUUUCAAUUUUGAAUUUCAUAUGAAAAUGGAACUUGAAACUAUUAAAGGAAAAUCUUUUUGUGAUUUUCUUUUAGAGAUGUAUAUGAAACCUACUCUAAAAAAAAAUUUUAAUUUUUUUAAAUAAGAUCACCGAACCCAAAAAGGGCUGCCUACGUAUCACCCCCAAAAGAGGAGAAUCAGGUGUGUGUAGUUUAUUCAGAUUGGACAAAUAAGGAUUAAAUAAAAAAUUGACCCUAACUUCAGAGACACGACCAAAGCCAGACAAUGAACAACAUCAAUAAAAAAUUUGGGGGGGAUUUAAUUAAACACUUCACAUAAAACUGACACCAAUAACUAUGAAAGAAAAAUAUUUUUUUAGUAUUUUUGUUAUAUUAAAUGUACAAAACUUCUAUCAUCUUUUUUUUUUGAAUUUUUCGUUUAUAAAAAACUCUUAUUGAAAAAAAAUCUUUUUGAAGUUUUCGAAUUGUGAAUGUUUGCUCAAGGAAAAAAGGAAAAUCUUUUUGAUGUUUUUGUUUUUUUGAGAAAGUGAGUGCAAAAGGUAAAUAAUCUUUUUGAAUUUUUGGAUUGUGUGAAACAAAAGCCAUAAAGAACACUAAAAAAAAACUACGAAACUCUUUUUUUCUCGACUCACUUUUUUUUUUUGAACUUUUCCUUGCCUACACACUUUUCUUUAAUUCUAGCACAUGUUUUCCCCAAAUCAGUUCAUUGAAUGAUCCUGUAACCAUCAAAUAUGCAACAAUUAGCACAUACGGAUGUUUUAAGAGUGAGUCUCCUACAAAGGACCAAGUGGGUCCCACUAGGUCUUAAUAUGAUGCAGAUAAGCAUGACCUAAAGGCUGAUCUAUGUUGGGAUUCUCUAACAAGGUUGUUAGGGGAGCAUAUGGUCGAUAGUGGUUGCGAUAACUUUCCACCCACUCCAUACCAGCCGACGGCUCCUCCUCCUAAAAUAAGGGUGACUCAACUAGAGGUUGUGUACACAGUGUGUACUACAGAACUUGUUGCAGAAAAAAUUAACUUGGGUUAUGCAAAUGAAGCCAAAUAUAAAGCGGUACCACAUAAGAGAAAAGACUGUAAACACGUAGCAAGUAGGCACUCAACAAUGAUAAAACAAAUACAAACAAUAACACAAGCAACGUCUAUACACUCAUAAUGUCAAAUAAGUCAAUAUAACUUCAAAAAUAAGCUCGAAUUCUGAAAUUCCUCAGCAGAGUCGUCAGAGCUGUCACACCCCUUUUUGAACCAAAAAGAUUAAUUUUUAGGUUUGAAAGGAUUUUUAUUAUUAAAUAACAAAAGAUAAAAUUAUUUCAAAAAGGAUUCAUUUUUUACAAUUAGCUCAGAGUCGUUACUUGGCAUAAUCGGAUGUGCAAGUCACCCUUAGAAAUCCUUUUUCAAAAAAAUAUUUUUGACUCUAAAACUUAUCCGCGAAUAAAGAUUCCGGCUAAGGAAUUCUGUUGACCGAGGGGAAGGUGUUAGGCACCCCUCGAUCCCGUGGUUCGACCACGGUCACUCUGUAGAGUAUAUCGGCUAGUAUGAACAUUAUGACUGUAUAAACCAACAAACACAUAAACACGAAACAAACAAACAAAAUCAAAAUUAAUGUCCAAUCUAAUUUAUUACAAACCCAAAAUAAAAAGGUACUGAAAUGUAAACCUACGCUAACCUAAACUAGUCCUACACUACACUUCAAUGCUUUACCCGAUGCCUCGGACCUUGACCACGAGCCUCCUUUGCAUACAUGAUACUUUGGGGCAUUCCCCAGUGAAUAAAUACAAAUGACUUCUGGGCAUUCCCCGGCUAAAUGAAUAUAUUUUUUCAAUGCUAGAAGACCAAAAUCAUUCAACAAUAUUUCAAACAUUCAAUAACUCAUAAUUUCUAAAUUUGUCUACCCCUAGCAUUUGCCUACCCAUUUAACGACCUAAUCAUGAUACUACUACAUUCGAGAAGGUUAAUAAACAUUUCAAAUUAAUUCAAUCGACGAACCAAAAUUAAUUCGAGUUCACUUUAUCAAGAUCAAUCCCUCCCCAAAUUCCUUUUAUACGUCAAAUUUUCACACAAAGCAAUUAUCCAAACUCAUGCUAACAUCAAAUUCGUACCAUGAUUAAUUAUUCACGAAUAAAUAAUAUCAAACAUCAACAAGAUCAUCCAAUGACAACCAUCAACACACAAUCAUAACAUCAAUAUAUCAAAUGAAAAUAAAGCGAAAAGAGAGAGUUGAAGAAUUGUACCUCAAUGCCGCUUUCAUUCAAACAUUACUCAAUUAAACGAGACAAAAUCCACGCCGAGAACCUCGACUCAAACCUCAAAUCAAAGUCCCAAAUUGAUAUUGUCGAAGUACACCCGAUUCUGUUUCUCACUAACUAAACCAAAACUCAUGAGAGAAAGACAAAAUUCCUGCCAGAACAGUGAAGUUGAAUCGGAUUAUGGUCGCUUUCCAAUGGGUGGAUGAUGGUCGACGAGCCGAUGGGAUUUUCAACGAAAGCUCACCGGCUGUUCACCAAAAAUUGAGCUGGGCCUCACCUAAAUAUGCGAAUUUGGUCAGUUUUGAGGCCUUUGGUCGCUGGUUUUGAAAGCUUAGGGGGUCGGAACUGGUUUUCCGGUGGGUUUGCGCCGCUGGAUAGGUUGUUUUCAAUGGCGAUUUCAGCAGCUCUCAAGUGAAAAUUCGUCGGAGAAGUGCCUCCUCUUCUCGAUUUUUCUCUCGCUGACCCCUGAUCUCGAUCUCUCUCUUCCCCUCUCCUCAAUUCACUCUUUGUUUCAGUCCCUUUUAGUGUAUGUGAGAGAAUUAUUGUGCGUGUAUGAAGUAGUAUUUAUGGUCUCCGUUCCAGUGAGUCCUUUUUUGUGUAUUGUGUGUGUAUGUGCUUUUUCUGUGAGUUUUCUUUGGAAGAUAAGAAAAUGGAGACCCCUUUCCGGUAUAUGUGAGUAUGUGCGUGAAUUUGAGAGUGACGGUGAGAUUUCUAUGAGUGAGUGGAAAUUUUUCUAGAGAAUGUGUAUUGUUUCCCUGUGGGUCCCGCUUCUCUUUUGUGUGUGAUGAAUGUG
rnacentral:lncRNA from 1 species